GAUGAACGCUGGCGGCGUGCCUAAUACAUGCAAGUCGAGCGAACGGACGAGAAGCUUGCUUCUCUGAUGUUAGCGGCGGACGGGUGAGUAACACGUGGAUAACCUACCUAUAAGACUGGGAUAACUUCGGGAAACCGGAGCUAAUACCGGAUAAUAUUUUGAACCGCAUGGUUCAAAAGUGAAAGACGGUCUUGCUGUCACUUAUAGAUGGAUCCGCGCUGCAUUAGCUAGUUGGUAAGGUAACGGCUUACCAAGGCAACGAUGCAUAGCCGACCUGAGAGGGUGAUCGGCCACACUGGAACUGAGACACGGUCCAGACUCCUACGGGAGGCAGCAGUAGGGAAUCUUCCGCAAUGGGCGAAAGCCUGACGGAGCAACGCCGCGUGAGUGAUGAAGGUCUUCGGAUCGUAAAAAUCUGUUAUUAGGGAAGAACAUAUGUGUAAGUAACUGUGCACAUCUUGACGGUACCUAAUAAGAAAGCCACGGCUAACUACGUG
rnacentral:rRNA from 1 species